UGAACCUUUACUAUAGCUUGACACUGAACAUUGAGCCUUGAUGUGUAGGAUAGGUGGGAGGCUUUGAAGUGUGGACGCCAGUCUGCAUGGAGCCGACCUUGAAAUACCACCCUUUAAUGUUUGAUGUUCUAACGUGGGCCCCUUACCGGGGUUGCGGACAGUGUCUGGUGGGUAGUUUGACUGGGGCGGUCUCCUCCUAAAGAGUAACGGAGGAGCACGAAGGUUGGCUAAUCCUGGUCGGACAUCAGGAGGUUAGUGCAAUGGCAUAAGCCAGCUUGACUGCGAGCGUGACGGCGCGAGCAGGUGCGAAAGCAGGUCAUAGUGAUCCGGUGGUUCUGAAUGGAAGGGCCAUCGCUCAACGGAUAAAAGGUACUCCGGGGAUAACAGGCUGAUACCGCCCAAGAGUUCAUAUCGACGGCGGUGUUUGGCACCUCGAUGUCGGCUCAUCACAUCCUGGGGCUGAAGUAGGUCCCAAGGGUAUGGCUGUUCGCCAUUUAAAGUGGUACGCGAGCUGGGUUUAGAACGUCGUGAGACAGUUCGGUCCCUAUCUGCCGUGGGCGCUGGAGAACUGAGGGGGGCUGCUCCUAGUACGAGAGGACCGGAGUGGACGCAUCACUGGUGUUCGGGUUGUCAUGCCAAUGGCACUGCCCGGUAGCUAAAUGCGGAAGAGAUAAGUGCUGAAAGCAUCUAAGCACGAAACUUGCCCCGAGAUGAGUUCUCCCUGACUCCUUGAGAGUCCUGAAGGAACGUUGAAGACGACGACGUUGAUAGGCCGGGUGUGUAAGCGCAGCGAUGCGUUGAGCUAACCGGUACUAAUGAACCGUGAGGCUUAACCUUACAACGCCGAAG
rnacentral:rRNA from 1 species